GUAAACCAAAAUGGUGAAAACCUGGAGCUUUAUUUUCCACAUUAUAAAAACUACACUGUGCCACAAGAAAACUGAGAUGCAGGUUCUCCAGUCUGGUUAGCCUAACAGUUGAAGAGGACCCCCCCCAAAAAAAACUGUGUUCCAUCCAUUCAUUUUCUGAGCCACUUAUCCUCAUGAGGGGCGCACGAAUGCUGGAGCCAAUCUCAGCUGUUACCAGACGGGAGGCAAGGUUUGCAAGUAGUGCUGUGGACCAUCAACAUGGUCUUUUGGAAACUUGGAACUUGCUGCAAUGCUUUCUUGGACAGCAGUGGCUUCCUCUGGCGUCUCCUAUAUAUUAUAUAAUAUAUAUUGAAACUAAAAAAAAAGGUUUUACUUCUUGUAGAUUUGUCAACAGUGGUGUUCGCAAGUGCCAGAGAUUCGUCGUUUAGCCGACACUCCAGCGGUGUCUGAGAAUGGACAGAUGGUCAUCAAGAUUUUCAUGCAACUUAUCAAUUCUGAAUUGUAGAGAAUUUGAGAGCUCUUCUGUGCUAGGCGUGGUUGUCAUUGGGUGAUGCUUCUUGAGGAUUGAACUCUAAAUUGUGUUUUUUAAUCAGGCAGGGCAAUUUUAAUCAACAAUUCCAGUCUUACCAAAUUGAUUACGAUCUGGGAUGACUGACUCCGGACUUUGGUUAGCUCUUGGACAACUCCAUUGUUUACACAUUGUGUCCAAUAGAAAGCAAGAUCAAAACACAAUUGUUUGUGUGGUUGUAACCUUUGCAGACUUGUUUUUUCUCAAUGACAUAUAGAUUUUAUGACCAAUUUAUGAAUGAAUCCAGGUAAUACCUAAGGGCAAUGGUACACACUAAGUUGACACUUUGAUCUGCCAAUAAAAGCUGUUACAAUCCUGAGAUGGAUGGAGCUCAUCCGGACUCAUUAAGAUCUUCGAUGCAGCACGUUUCAUGAACACAUUUACAACAAUCAGUGUCAAAAGAUGAAAUACUGAAAACCAAUCAUUUCCUCACGAGUCAAGCCUCACAAAUAUUUGUAUUGCCCCGGAAUGUGCAGCAAACUGGGACUGAUGGGUAACCAUUACACUAUUGGAGCAUGCUAAAGAUGGAUUGUGAUCCAGGCCCACAGACACACGUCAGUAAUGAAAGAUGCAUACAGAUGAAAGGGCCAGAAAGUAUAGCAAAAUAGACACACAUAAAUACAAAUAAUAUCUUGAGCAAAUAGCAGGAGAAAAGUGUCAUGCUGGAGAUCUUGUAAAUGUCAUCACAGAGUAAAACACUCAACUCGGUCUCGGGGUUACGA